UCCCGUGUGGCUCAGUUGGUAGAGCAUGGUGUUUGCAACGCCAGGGUUGCAGGUUUGAUUCCCACGGGGG
rnacentral:tRNA from 1 species